GGCGGCGGCGGGUCUGAGGGUCUGGGGGGCUGCUGUCCCUGAGUCCAGAACCCAUCAGGCUGAGAAAGAUCUCUGGGGUCGUUGAGUCCCACCCAUGACCAAACACCACCAUGAGUGCCGCAUCCAGUCUUUCCUUACCAGGGACGGUGACUCCACCGCCUCACUUGGCAGCCCAUCCCAAUGUCUAAACACCCUUUCCGUGAAAAAGUUCUUCCUAAUCUCCAGCCUUAAUCUCCCCUGGCACAGUUUGACACAUGUCGUGUCAUACUGUCGCUGGUCACCUGGGAGGGGCAGCCGACCCUCACCUGGUUGUAACCUCCUUUCAGGGGGUUGUAAAGCCUCGUUUGUCCAGGCUAAACCCCAGCUCCCUCAGCCGCUCCUCACGGGAUUGAUAAUCCAGACUCGUUGCCCUUCCUUGAACCAGCUCCAGCACCCCAAUGUCCUUCCUAAAUUGAGAGGCCCAAAGCAUAAACCCUCUGAGAACAGCCAGCAAUGAGCUGUUUGGUACAAGUUUAUCUUCAUCACAUGAGUUCUGGCCUGAAAAGGGUGUUUUCCCUUUCUGUUUUUGUCUUUCCUCACUGAACUGAAAGCAAUGAUCCAGGUUUUUAUUUGUGGUCAACAGCUUGGACAACAUUGACCUACAUGGCUUCUAACAGAUGUGCAUCCAACUUGUAAAAACCUUCAAUAAAGCUUAUUGUGCCAAA